UAAAGGCUCACCAAGGCGACGAUCAGUAGCUGGUCUGAGAGGAUGAUCAGCCACAUUGGGACUGAGACACGGCCCAAACUCCUACGGGAGGCAGCAGUGGGGAAUCUUGGACAAUGGGCGCAAGCCUGAUCCAGCCAUACCGCGUGAGUGAAGAAGGCCUUCGGGUUGUAAAGCUCUUUCAGCCGGAAAGAAAUCGUGCAGAUUAAUACUCUGUAUGGAUGACGGUACCGGAAGAAGAAGCACCGGCUAACUACGUGCCAGCAGCCGCGGUAAUACGUAGGGUGCGAGCGUUAAUCGGAAUUACUGGGCGUAAAGCGUGCGCAGGCGGUUUUGUAAGACAGACGUGAAAUCCCCGGGCUUAACCUGGGAACUGCGUUUGUGACUGCAAGGCUAGAGUGUGGCAGAGGGGGGUAGAAUUCCACGUGUAGCAGUGAAAUGCGUAGAUAUGUGGAGGAAUACCAAUGGCGAAGGCAGCCCCCUGGGUUAACACUGACGCUCAUGCACGAAAGCGUGGGGAGCAAACAGGAUUAGAUACCCUGGUAGUCCACGCCCUAAACGAUGCCAACUAGGUGUUGGGGAAGGAGACUUUCUUAGUACCGCAGCUAACGCGUGAAGUUGACCGCCUGGGGAGUACGGUCGCAAGAUUAAAACUCAAAGGAAUUGACGGGGACCCGCACAAGCGGUGGAUUAUGUGGAUUAAUUCGAUGCAACGCGAAAAACCUUACCUACCCUUGACAUGCCAGGAAGAUUCCAGAGAUGGGAUUGUGCCCGAAAGGGAACCUGGACACAGGUGCUGCAUAGCUGUCGUCAGCUCGUGUCGUGAGAUGUUGGGUUAAGUCCCGCAACGAGCGCAACCCUUGUCAUUAAUUGCCAUCAUUCGGUUGGGCACUUUAAUGAGACUGCCGGUGAUAAACCGGAGGAAGGUGGGGAUGACGUCAAGUCCUCAUGGCCCUUAUGGGUAGGGCUUCACACGUAAUACAAUGGUCGGUACAGAGGGUUGCCAACCCGCGAGGGGGAGCCAAUCCCAGAAAGCCGAUCGUAGUCCGGAUUGUAGUCUGCAACUCGACUACAUGAAGUCGGAAUCGCUAGUAAUCGCGGAUCAGCAUGUCGCGAUGAAUACGUUCCCGGGUCUUGUACACACCGCCCGUCACACCAUGGGAGUGGAAUCUGGCAGAAGUAGGUAGCC
rnacentral:rRNA from 1 species